rnacentral:rRNA from 1 species
AAGUCGAGGGGAAACGACAUCGAAAGCUUGCUUUUGAUGGGCGUCGACCGGCGCACGGGUGAGUAACGCGUAUCCAACCUUCCCGCAACUGGGGAAUAACCUUGCGAAAGUAAGACUAAUACCCCAUGGUCUCCACGGAUGGCAUCUGAAAUGGAGUAAAGAUUUAUCGGUGAUGGAUGGGGAUGCGUCUGAUUAGCUUGUUGGCGGGGUAACGGCCCACCAAGGCAACGAUCAGUAGGGGUUCUGAGAGGAAGGUCCCCACAUUGGAACUGAGACACGGUCCAAACUCC